UACGGGGGGGAGCAAGCGUUGUUCGGAUUUACUGGGCGUAAAGGGCGCGUAGGCGGUCGUGACAAGUCACUUGUGAAAUCUCCGGGCUUAACUCGGAACGGUCAAGUGAUACUGUCGUGCUAGAGUACAGAAGGGGCAACUGGAAUUCUCGGUGUAGCGGUGAAAUGCGUAGAUAUCGAGAGGAACACCCUGCGGCGAAGGCGGGUUGCUGGGCUGAUACUGACGCUGAGGCGCGAAAGCUAGGGGAGCGAACGGG
rnacentral:rRNA from 1 species